rnacentral:rRNA from 1 species
AUUAAGGUCGGGAACUCAAAGGAGACUGCCAGUGAUAAACUGGAGGAAGGUGGGGAUGACGUCAAGUCAUCAUGGCCCUUACGACCAGGGCUACACACGUGCUACAAUGGCGCAUACAAAGAGAAGCGACCUCGCGAGAGCAAGCGGACCUCAUAAAGUGCGUCGUAGUCCGGAUUGGAGUCUGCAACUCGACUCCAUGAAGUCGGAAUCGCUAGUAAUCGUGGAUCAGAAUGCCACGGUGAAUACGUUCCCGGGCCUUGUACACACCGCCCGUCACACCAUGGGAGUGGGUUGCAAAAGAAGUAGGUAGCUUAACCUUCGGGAGGGCGCUUACCACUUUGUGAUUCAUGACUGGGGUGAAGUCGUAACAAGGUAACCGUAGGGGAACCUGCGGUUGGAUCACCUCCUUA